rnacentral:rRNA from 1 species
GAUGAACGCUGGCGGCGUGCCUAAUACAUGCAAGUCGAGCGAACAGACGAGGAGCUUGCUUCUCUGACGUUAGCGGCGGACGGGUGAGUAACACGUGGAUAACCUACCUAUAAGACUGGGAUAACUUCGGGAAACCGGAGCUAAUACCGGAUAAUAUAUUGAACCGCAUGGUUCAAUAGUGAAAGACGGUUUUGCUGUCACUUAUAGAUGGAUCCGCGCCGCAUUAGCUAGUUGGUAAGGUAACGGCUUACCAAGGCAACGAUGCGUAGCCGACCUGAGAGGGUGAUCGGCCACACUGGAACUGAGACACGGUCCAGACUCCUACGGGAGGCAGCAGUAGGGAAUCUUCCGCAGUGGGCGAAAGCCUGACGGAGCAACGCCGCGUGAGUGAUGAAGGUCUUCGGAUCGUAAAACUCUGUUAUUUGGGAAGAACAAAUGUGUAAGUAACUAUGCACGUCUUGACGGUACCUAAUCAGAAAGCCACGGCUAACUACGU